rnacentral:rRNA from 1 species
UACGUAGGUGGCAAGCGUUGUCCGGAUUUAUUGGGUUUAAAGGGUGCGUAGGCGGCUUUGUAAGUCAGUGGUGAAAUACUCCAGCUCAACUGGAGAGGUGCCAUUGAUACUGCAGAGCUAGAGUACUGAUGAGGUAGGCGGAAUGGACGGUGUAGCGGUGAAAUGCUUAGAUAUCGUCCAGAACACCGAUAGCGAAGGCAGCUUACUAAAGAGUAACUGACGCUGAGGCACGUAAGUGUGGGGAUCAAACAGG